ACAAUGCCGUUAUACCCUUGAGCAAGGUACUUAACACCAUGUGUUUGAGCCAUUUAUGUCAUGAGAAAAAACGAACCACGUUAGUGACACCUAUGGCCGUUUAGUCAUACAGCUGGAAAUGGAACCAGGCCCAAGGGCUCAUUAGGAAACACCUGUGUCAAGAACCUGAUGAACCAAGACGCCAAGAAGGAUAUAGUUUUCAAUCUUACCUACUAGAUUCUUAAGUUGUAUCAUUUAAUUAAGAUUUACCUCUUUGAUUUAGUUUGUAAUUCAGAAAACUUCGAAUUUAUUUUCAUCUUUUUAUCUAUGUAAAUUUUAAUUUAUUUUCGAGGGUAUUAUUAUUAUUUAUCUGCGGCAAGCCAUUAACACAAUAUAUAGCCUACAUUCAUUCAAUGAACUGAAUUCCAAGCCUGGAUGAAGAUCUGCACACAUCUAAGAGCUGCGACAAAGUCUUCCAAGCUCCCAGAUCCCCGAUCAGACUGCUGCACUUGACCACAGAGACAACCGGAAGACUCCAAAUGCAAAUUCCACGCCAAGAAUCAACCCCAGAUCUUUUACUUGCUUUCUUGUGCAUGCACUAAUGAAACAGCUGAGAAAGAGCUGAGCAGCCAAUUGUCCAAUGCCAUUUGUUCCCCCAAAAUGGGGGGAUGGGACUAUGUAUAGCAGUGGUCUCCAACCCUGGUCCUGGAGAGCUACAGGGUCUGCUGGUUUUCAUAGUGACUCUGCACUUCAUGAAUCAAGUAGAACAGUUGAUUACACAGUUAACUCACCUGGUGUCUUGGGUCUCAAUUGGGUGCUGAUUUUAAGGUGAAAACAUAAACCAGCAGACCCUGUAGCUCUCCAGGACCAGGGUUGGAGACCACUGAUGUAUAGAAAGGGCCAACAUGAAUGUAAAUACCUCCAUGUUCAUUGUUUCAUUUCAAAUCCGAUGUGCUGGAGUACAGAGCCAUAACAACAUACAUUGCGUGGCUGUGCAAAUAAAUGCGGGCUGCACUGUACAUCUCGUUGAACAAAAUGUAUGACUAAAGUGAUCGCUUUCCAAAUAAAAGUAACUCACACAGUG